UAUGGCGAGGAUAGCAAAGGGGAUACACCCGUUCCCAUCUCGAACACGGAAGUUAAGCCCUUUAACGUCGAUGGUACUAGUACAUUUCGUACU
rfam:Tissierellia bacterium KA00581 genomic scaffold Scaffold31, whole genome shotgun sequence.